GGAUGUGAGGGCAAUCUGGCUGUGACAUCUGUCACCCCAUUGAUUGCCAGGGUUAAUUUGUCUGAUCUGGCUGGCUAGGCGGGUAUCCCCUUCCUCCCUCACUGCUUCCCUCCCGAAGCUGCGCACUUGGUCAAAGAGGACGGUCUUACCGGAAUAGAGACUGACUGGUCUUCAGUCGAGGCUAUACAAGUAACUGCACUCUUCUGCUAGAACCUCCAAACAAGCUCUCUCAAAACCUACAUAUGUAAAAAAAAAAAAUUUCCCCCAUACUUUAAACUUUUGUGGCUUAUAAAGUUGUUCAUGUUCAU
rnacentral:snRNA from 1 species